CAUGGUCCAUGAUCGGAGAGACAUUGUUGAGGAUGAGGGAGACAUCGUCCUCGAUCAGAGACAUUGUCCACGAUCACAGAGACCUUGUCAAAGAUGAGAGAGACGUUGUCCAUGAUCAGAGACAUUGUCCCAUGCUUCGUAGAGACCUUGCGAUAGAAUCGGCGGAGACGGGGGUCACCGAUUUGACGGCACUGCCCGCGAUCAUGGAGACAUUGUCGAUGAUCACAGAGACACCAUCUAUGAUCUCAGAGACAUCGUCCACGAUCGCAAAGACAUUGGCCACGAUCACAGAGACUUUGUCCAUAAUCUCAGAGACCUUGUCCGCGAUCACAGAGACGUAGUCCACGAUCACAGAGAGUCUUCGUACAACGAAGAAGUUCUUUGAGACCAGGACAGAGGCCUCCAGGUGUCACCACUUCGUCCACGACAUCGUCCACGAUCGCAGAGACAUGGUCCAUGAUCGGAGAGACAUUGUUGAGGAUGAGGGAGACAUCGUCUUCGAUCAGAGACAUUGUCCACGAUCGCAGAGACCUUGUCAAAGAUGAGAGAGACGUUGUCCAUGAUCAGAGACAUUGUCCCAUGCUUCGUAGAGACCUUGCGAUAGAAUCGGCGGAGACGGGGGUCACUGAUUUGACGGCAUUGCCCGCGAUCAUGGAGACAUUGUCGAUGAUCACAGAGACAGCGUCUAUGAUCUCAGAGACAUCGUCCACGAUCGCAAAGACAUUGGCCACGAUCACAGAGACUUUGUCCAUAAUCUCAGAGACCUUGUCCGCGAUCACAGAGACGUAGUCCACGAUCACAGAGAGUCUUCGUACAACGAAGAAGUUCUUUGAGACCAGGACAGAGGCCUCCAGGUGUCACCACUUCGUCCACGACAUCGUCCACGAUCGCAGAGACAUGGUCCAUGAUCGGAGAGACAUUGUUGAGGAUGAGGGAGACAUCGUCCUCGAUCAGAGACAUUGUCCACGAUCGCAGAGACCUUGUCAAAGAUGAGAGAGACAUUGUCCAUGAUCAGAGACAUUGUCCCAUGCUUCGUAGAGACCUU